rnacentral:rRNA from 1 species
CUUAUGAAGUUAGAGGCGGACGGCUGACUUACACGUGGCUAAGCUGCCCAUAAGACUGGGAUAACUCCGGGAUACCGGGGCUAAUACCGGAUAANAUUUUGCACCGCAUGGUGUGAAAUUCAAGGCAGGCUUCGGCUGGCACUUAUGGAUGGACCCGCGUCGCAUUAGCUAGUUGGUGAGGUAACGGCUCACCAAGGCAACGAUGCGUAGCCGACCUGAGAGGGUGAUCGGCCACACUGGGACUGAGACACGGCCCAGACUCCUACGGGAGGCAGCAGUCGGGAAUCUUCCGCAAUGGACGAAAGUCUGACGGAGCAACGCCGCGUGAGUGAGGAAGGCUUUCGGGUCGUAAAACUCUNUUGUUAGGGAAGAACAAGUGCUAGUUGAAUAAGCUGGCACCUUGACGGUAACUACCCAGAAAGCCACGGCUAACUACGUGCCAGCAGCCGCGGUAAUACGUAGGUGGCAAGCGUUAUCCGGAAUUAUUGGGCGUAAAGCGCGCGCAGGUGGUUUCUUAAGUCUGAUGUGAAAGCCCACGGCUCAACCGUGGAGGGUCAUUGGAAACUGGGAGACUUGAGUGCAGAAGAGGAAAGUGGAAUUCCAUGUGUAGCGGUGAAAUGCGUAGAGAUAUGUAGGAACACCCGUGGCGAAGGCGACUUUCUGGUCUGUAACUGACACUGAGGCGCGCAAGCUUGGGGUGCAAACCGGGAUUAGAUACCCUGGUAGUCCACGCCCGUAGACGAUGAG